rnacentral:rRNA from 1 species
GAUGAACGCUGGCGGCGUGCCUAAUACAUGCAAGUCGAACGAAGUCUUCGGACUUAGUGGCGAACGGGUGAGUAACACGUUGGUACCUACCCCGAAGUGGGGAAUAACUGCCCGAAAGGGUGGCUAAUACCGCAUAAUCCCGCAAGGGUAAAGCAGUAAUGUGCUUCGGGAGGGGCCUGCGUCCCAUUAGCUAGUUGGUAGGGUAAUGGCCUACCAAGGCGACGAUGGGUAGCUGGAUCGAGAGGUUGACCAGCCACACUGGGACUGAGAUACGGCCCAGACUCCUACGGGAGGCAGCAGUAAGGAAUCUUCCACAAUGGACGAAAGUCUGAUGGAGCAACGCCGCGUGCAGGAUGACGGUCUUCGGAUUGUAAACUGCUUUUAUAUGGGAAGAUUAUGACGGUACCAUAUGAAUAAGGACCGGCUAACUAUGUGCCAGCAGCCGCCGUAA